rnacentral:lncRNA from 1 species
UUUCCCGACCUUAAAUGUUCUAUGAGGCAAUGAAUGUCUAAAUUUUCUUUUUGCGAAGGAUGAGAAUACUCUAAGGCUGUCAUCACAGUUCAAGAGAUGGCAUUCUUGAUUUGGGUAAUGACAGGGACGAGAACUCAAAGUCUGGGGUAAAUGGAGCACCAGGUCACCAGGUCUACAUGAAAUACAGCUGAAAAAUGUACAGUUUUUAAGGUCGUUCUAAGUUCUUCGUUUGGAUCCUCCCAUAUGAAAUAAGAGCCGUGCAAAAUGCCAACUGAUUCUGGAACGUGUGUUGUGGAUCAUGUUGCUGUUUUCCUGGACCUUCCUGAUGUCUUCUUAAUGUCUCUCUUCUUCUCCUGGUCCUGGAACCAGACUUAGAUCCCUUCAGGAGCAAGUUGGGGGAGGUUUUUUGGUCACAGUAGUCACAAAGCUUCCUUCACCCACACUCUGGAGGUGGUGGGCAGCUAGAAGGUGGCAGGUGAUUUUUCUCUUAAGGUUGUGUUUCAGAUUUUCUCCUCCAGUCUAAUUUUUAGCUCAUUCUUUACUGCCAAGCAGAACAAGAUGCUGGGUUGAGAAUCUGUGAGUCAAAUGAUGAAAGGCUGGGGCACAGCAGCAGGCCUAUUUUAAUGAUUUAGAGAAAUCUGAUCUAUUUCUCUCUGGGUUAUUUUGUACCACAUUGAGAGUGCCAUGCUGGAUACAACUAGCUGAGAAGAGAGAAGAGCCACAAACUAUGUUUGUUCUUAAAAACAAAACAGUCAUGACAAAUAACUGCCCUUACAUCAUUUUGUUUCUCUGGGGACUGAUCCUGAUGCUACCCAUCCAAUUUUCAUGAAUAUUUCCUUUGAUUAAGGUAAGAAAGUUUUUCACAUCUAAAAAUCAUUUGGGGAUUUGGAGCCAU